AGUUUAAAUGGUUAGUUAACUUGUAUUGAUAAAUAGUUACAAAAAAUUAACUUAAGUCCUUCUUCCCCGUGACCGAAGUUUUAUUAACAUAAUUUAAACAUUUAUUUUUUGAAAAGUCAGUUUUAUACACAGAAAUAAUGGUAAUAUACGACAUUCCAAAAGUGUUUUUAUAGUUUAAAAAUUAUUAUAAUAUAAAAAAAAAAAAUUUUUAGUAAAUUACAUUUCUCCGUCCAAACGCGAUAUAAAAUAUAAACCGCUGUUUUCACGAAAAAAACAAAUUUGUAUUUCGGUUAACUCACCCGAACCAUAGUAGACAUAUUCAAUACAUAUAUCGAGAAUAUUUUACCGAAUCGGAUAGCUCAAAACAUAAUGUACGGACGAUAAAACAAUCAUUUGGUGAUAAUCUGGUAUGGG